UACGUAGGGUGCAAGCGUUAAUCGGAAUUACUGGGCGUAAAGCGUGCGCAGGCGGUUAUGUAAGACAGGUGUGAAAUCCCCGGGCUUAACCUGGGAACUGCAUUUGUGACUGCAUAGCUAGAGUACGGCAGAGGGGGAUGGAAUUCCGCGUGUAGCAGUGAAAUGCGUAGAUAUGCGGAGGAACACCGAUGGCGAAGGCAAUCCCCUGGGCCUGUACCGACGCUCAUGCACGAAAGCGUGGGGAGCAAACAGG
rnacentral:rRNA from 1 species